AAGGAAGAGAAGUUGACCUCCCUGGGAUGUCGUCACUUCAUUAUUGGCUGCACCUGCGCAAUCAUGUGAUGCGAUACAUUUUUCAAAGACGUUUUUCAAGACACAGGAGAGGUCGGGUUGAAACAUUACUGAUGUUUCACGUUAAAAAUGGCUCUAAAGAUUGAUGCUAAACAACGUUUGACAUGUUUGAACAAUGUAAAUAGAUAAUUUUUUUUACUUUUCGCCGUGACUCCCCCCCCCCCGUGCUACUUUUUAGUAGCCUACCGAAGCGCUAACAACUUGGAGUUAUUGGGACAUCAAUUAUGAACUUUGUUGAAAGAAACCACAUUUGCAGUGGACCUGGGAUGCCUGGAAUUGCCAAUGGAUGAAGAGAAUCAAAGGUCAAGAGGAGUGUGAACUCCGAGCUUCACUGACCCAGUCAUUACUGGGACACUGCAGAAGAAGAGAGUCUGUCUCGUUGUCUUUCAUCCUCUCUCUCUCUCUCUCUGCAGGUUACAGUUCUCUGUCAGAGAGGUUAAAACAUGAUGUCAAAAGGUGACAGAGUCUGGAACAGCAGGAGAGAUAGCAGGAGAGAUAAGGUCGGGGUGAGGAGAGAGAAAGAGAAAGAAAGAGAGAGAG
rnacentral:lncRNA from 1 species